AUCCUUUUGUAGUUCACAAACACGAUAACUGGGUGCUCAUGCACAUGUGUAAGGUGUGCCUCCCUCAGACAUUGCUACAAUGUCAGCACAUUACCCGUCUGACA
ensembl:snoRNA